UUUCCGGUUGAUCCCGCGGACCCCACUGCUAUCGAGGUGGGACUAAGCCAUGCUAGUCGAACGACCGAACUAUGGCGGGGAGUGGCAUACUGCUCAGUAACACGUAGUUAACCUUUCCCUCGGGACGGAGAUACCCCCGGGAAACUGGGGACAAUACCCGAUAGGUGUGGAUUCCUGGAAUGGUACCACGCCUAAAUAUUUGUAUGUCCAUGUUGCAUGCAGAUGCCCGAGGAUGGGCUGCGGCCGAUCAGGCUGUUGGUGGGGUAAUGGCCCACCAAACCAUUGACCGGUACGGGCCGUGGGAGCGGUAGCCCGGAGAUGGGCACUGAGACAAGGGCCCAGGCCCUACGGGGCGCAGCAGGCGCGAAACCUCCACAAUGCACGAAAGUGCGAUGGGGUUACCUCGAGUGCCGUCUGAAAAAGGCGGCUUUUCCACUGUAUAAUAAGCCGUGGGAAUAAGGGGGGGGCAAGACUGGUGUCAGCCGCCGCGGUAACACCAGCCCCCCGAGUGGUGGGGAUGAUUAUUUGGCCUAAAGCGUCCGUAGCCGGCUCGGUAAAUCUCUCGUUAAAUCCAGCGUCCUAAGCGUUGGGCUGCGAGGGAGACUGCCAAGCUAGAGGGUGGGAGAGGUCAGCGGUAUUCCUGGGGUAGGGGCGAAAUCCGUUGAUCCCAGGAGGACCACCAGUGGCGAAGGCCGCUGACUAGAACACGCCUGACGGUGAGGGACGAAAGCUGGGGUAGCGAAUCGGAUUAGAUACCCGAGUAGUCCCAGCCGUAAACGAUGCAGGCUAGGUGUUGGGUCGGUCACGUACCGACUCAGUGCCACAGGGAAGCCAUUAAGCCUGCCGCCUGGGGAGUACGGCCGCAAGGCUGAAACUUAAAGGAAUUGGCGGGGGAGCACCACCAGGCGUGAAGCCUGCGGUUUAAUUGGAUUCAACGCCGGG
rnacentral:rRNA from 1 species